rnacentral:rRNA from 1 species
UACGAAGGGGGCUAGCGUUGUUCGGAAUUACUGGGCGUAAAGCGCACGUAGGCGGACAUUUAAGUCAGGGGUGAAAUCCCGGGGCUCAACCCCGGAACUGCCUUUGAUACUGGAUGUCUUGAGUGUGGUAGAGGUGAGUGGAAUUGCGAGUGUAGAGGUGAAAUUCGUAGAUAUUCGCAGGAACACCAGUGGCGAAGGCGGCUCACUGGCCCGGUACUGACGCUGAGGUGCGAAAGCGUGGGGAGCAAACAGG